rnacentral:rRNA from 1 species
UACGGGGGGAGCAAGCGUUAUCCGGAUUUACUGGGCGUAAAGCGCUUGUAGGUGGCUUUGUAAGUUGGGCGUGAAAACUCUGGGCUUAACCCAGAGACGCCGUCCAAUACUGCGAGGCUCGAGUACUGGAGAGGAGACUGGAAUUUACGGUGUAGCAGUGAAAUGCGUAGAUAUCGUAAGGAAGACCAGUGGCGAAGGCGAGUCUCUGGACAGUUACUGACGCUGAGGCACGAAGGCCAGGGGAGCAAACGGG